rnacentral:rRNA from 1 species
ACCGGUGGCAACACCGGUGAAGACCUAGUGGCGAACGGGUGAGUAGCACGUGAGCAACCUGCCCCGAAGACCGGGACAACACCGGGAAACCGGUGCUAAUACCGGAUGCCCCCACCGGGCCGCAUGACCUGGUGAGGAAAUGGAUUCCGCUUCGGGAGGGGCUCGCGGCCUAUCAGCUUGUUGGUGAGGUAACGGCUCACCAAGGCUUCGACGGGUAGCUGGUCUGAGAGGACGAUCAGCCACACUGGGACUGAGACACGGCCCAGACUCCUACGGGAGGCAGCAGUGGGGAGUCUUGCACAAUGGGCGCAAGCCUGAUGCAGCAACGCCGCGUGAGGGACGAAGGCUUUCUGAGUUGUAAACCUCUUUCAGCAGGGACGAUUAUGACGGUACCUGCAGAAGAAGCCCCGGCCAACUACGUGCCAGCAGCCGCGGUAAUACGUAGGGGGCGAGCGUCGUCCGGAUUUAUUGGGGGUA